AGUGAACGCUGGCGGCGUGCCUAAUACAUGCAAGUCGAACGGAGAUUCAGUAGCUUGCUAUUUAAUCUUAGUGGCGCACGGGUGAGUAAUAUAUAGCUAACUUGCCCAUUACUAAGGGACAACAGUUGGAAACGACUGCUAAUACCUUAUACUCCGUAUCUAUAUAAGUAGAUACGGGAAAGUUUUUCGGUAAUGGAUAGGGCUAUAUCGUAUCAGCUAGUUGGUAAGGCAAUGGCUUACCAAGGCUAUGACGCGUAACUGGUCUGAGAGGAUGAUCAGUCACACUGGAACUGAGACACGGUCCAGACUCCUACGGGAGGCAGCAGUAGGGAAUAUUGCUCAAUGGGGGAAACCCUGAAGCAGCAACGCCGCGUGGAGGAUGACACUUUUCGGAGCGUAAACUCCUUUUCUUGGGAAAGAAUUAUGACGGUACCCAAGGAAUAAGCACCGGCUAACUCCGUG
rnacentral:rRNA from 1 species